UGAGAAGGAGCCAUGUGGUCAUCCAAAGGGGUGGAAAAGAAUUAUCUUUCUUAAGUACUCCUCAAAAAGAAAGGAAAAGCAUGGCCAUUGGAAGUGCCAAAAUGAGACUCCUCAAUAUUUACAUUUUUUCUCUAUUCAAGAAGAGGAAAUUUGUUGGGGUAGUGGGGAGUACUGAUUCUAGUAAGACUCUCUUUUUAUGUGUCUUAUCUGAGGUACUUCUCACUCAUAAAGGAAAUGUUCUUGUCUCUCAGAAGGCCUCUGCUCAACCCAGAAAAUGAAAGAAACCCAUGAGAAAGCCUGGUGCUUUUCAGAGGUGUCUUCUGUUGUCCACCUACUUUUCUUGCUUUUACACUGCUGACUACUGACCUCUGACAAAAACUUCACAAAAACUGUACUGC
ensembl:lncRNA